rnacentral:lncRNA from 1 species
CCUGUUUUACUUUUAAUUUUUACCGAUUGAAGAACUCCAUAGCAGUCGUCUUCAUUGCUGUCACAGUAUGAAGAUGUCAGAUUUUUACUAGAGGAUGACCUGCUGGAUGAGUUUGUCGACUUUGUUUCCAAACUGGACUGUUUUUUUCUUUUGCUGAGUGCCUACUUUGAUGCUUUUUUACCAGAGGAUUUCUUUGAAGAUUCUUUACUGGAAGUUUGCUUUAUCUCUUCAUUUUUUACGGAUUUUCCUUAAGCAAUAUGAUUGAACAUUUCCUGACAAAUCAUUUUAUAUUUUUCGGGAGCUUUAGCUAUUGCUAACAAGACCUAACAUUGGGCUUUCUGGGC